rnacentral:miRNA from 1 species
AAUUGACAUUAUGAUGAUGAUGAUGAUGAUCAUCAUCAUCAUCAUCAUCAUCAUUCAAG